rnacentral:rRNA from 1 species
AGAGUUUGAUCCUGGCUCAGAAUGAACGCUGGCGGCGUGCUUAACACAUGCAAGUUGAGCGGUAAGGCCCCUUCGGGGGUACACGAGCAGCGAACGGGUGAGUAACGCGUGGGUAAUCUACCUAGAGGUGGGGGAUAGCCUCGGGAAACCGGGGGUAAUACCGCAUGAGUCCCGACUGACAUAAGUCUAACGGGGGAAAGGCGGGGAUCUUCGGACCUGUCGCCUCUGGAUGAGCCCGCGUCCGAUUAGCUUGUUGGUGAGGUAAUGGCUCACCAAGGCGACGAUCGGCAACUGGUCUGAGAGGAUGGCCAGUCACACUGGGACUGAGACACGGCCCAGACUCCUACGGGAGGCAGCAGUGGGGAAUAUUGGACAAUGGGCGCAAGCCUGAUCCAGCAAUGCCGCGUGUGUGAAGAAGGCCUGCGGGUUGUAAAGCACUUUCAGUGGGGAAGAAAGGUUUGAGGUUAAUACCCUUGGAUUUUGACGUUACCCACAGAAGAAGCACCGGCUAACUCCGUGCCAGCAGCCGCGGUAAUACGGAGGGUGCGAGCGUUAAUCGGAAUCACUGGGCGUAAAGCGCGCGUAGGCGGCAGAGUCAGUCAGAUGUGAAAGCCCCGGGCUCAACCUGGGAAUGGCAUUUGAAACUGCUCAGCUAGAGUAUGGUAGAGGGAAGUGGAAUUCCAGGUGUAGCGGUGAAAUGCGUAGAUAUCUGGAGGAACACCGGUGGCGAAGGCGGCUUCCUGGACCAAUACUGACGCUGAAGUGCGAAAGCGUGGGGAGCAAACAGGAUUAGAUACCCUGGUAGUCCACGCUGUAA